rnacentral:rRNA from 1 species
AGUGAACGCUGGCGGCAGGCCUAACACAUGCAAGUCGAGCGGCAGCGCGGGGGCAACCCUGGCGGCGAGCGGCGGACGGGUGAGGAAUUCGUCGGAAUCUGCCUUUUUGUGGGGGAUAACGUAGGGAAACUUACGCUAAUACCGCAUACGUCCUACGGGAGAAAGUGGGGGACCGCAAGGCCUCACGCAGAAAGAUGAGCCGACGACCGAUUAGCUAGGUGGUGGGGUAAAGGCCCACCAAGGCGACGAUCGGUAGCUGGUCUGAGAGGAUGAUCAGCCACACUGGGACUGAGACACGGCCCAGACUCCUACGGGAGGCAGCAGUGGGGAAUAUUGGACAAUGGGCGCAAGCCUGAUCCAGCCAUGCCGCGUGUGUGAAGAAGGCCUUCGGGUUGUAAAGCACUUUUGUCCGGAAAGAAAUCCCUGGAGCUAAUACCUUCGGGGGAUGACGGUACCGGAAGAAUAAGCACCGGCUAACUUCGUG